UAGUGUUUAUUCCUUUACCCCCAAUACCAAACGUAAACUCACACAGACACAUGACCACUGCACACAUUGUCCUCGUCCGUCCAGCAGCCGCCGGUCGCCGGAGCCCGGAGCCACUCCAGCCCCUUCUCUUACAGUUUCCCUUGGUCACUCUCUAAGAUGGAGAGCAUUUGUGAAGAUACAAAUGUUUUAGAAGAGAAAUAUAACAAUUUCUAGGCAAAGAAACCGUUUGAUGGAUAAUUAAUUUCUUGGCGAAGAAACCGUCUCAUCUUACAGGGUGUUUGAUGGGCAUGGAGGAAAGGGUGCAUUAAAGUUUGUUCGUGAUAAUUUGCCAAGAAUCAUUGUUGAUGAUGCUAAUUUUCCAAUGGAACUUAAAAAAGCAGUCACGAGGUUGUUUGCAGAGGCAGAUGUUGCAUUUGCGCGGUCAUGUGUUCUUGAAUCUGCUCUUUCUUAUGGCACAACUACGCUUGCCGCUAUGAUCUUUGGGAGAAAAAUACGUUCGUGAAGAUGGCGGUGCAUUUAGUCCAAUCGACGAAAGAAUGUUGGGCAAGUGUGAACAAGAUAUUCAACAAAGAUUGGCUAACCCUGACACAGCUCCAAAUUGUGACAACCCUCACCAAAUCAGGGAAUUAAGGAUCUGGCACGGUAUGCUACGGUUUCAUGUUGCGUAAGAGUUAUGAGGUCAUCCAAGUUUAGGGGUUGUGGCUUUUACCUGGAUGAGUCACAGUUCUUAAACUACGCCUGU